GACCAAAUUAAAUGCUACAAUUCCACAAUCAAAAAGAAAUCAUGAUUAGAAAGGAUAUCUGUAUAUUUCCCAUUUAGUAAUAAGGGCAAAUUAUUACCUUUCUCUUAAUUUUGGCUCAUUAAUCAGUAGUGAUUGUGAUCUCCCAGCUGUCAUACGAAAGCCUCGUGUGGUAUUCUGCGGUACUUGGGGAGGUCCCCGCAGCACUGUAAUCCUACAAGCCUUUCCUUACAGUGAGUCUGCCCGUUUGUCUUCAUUUCUAGAACUGUUUUAUGCCCUCCGGUUUUUUUGUCAUUAAAAUAUAUAGAUCUCAAGAUUCUAGACAAAGCAAGGUGCAGUCUUACAGUGUUAACUAGUUAUGCUUUGCUUUUCACCAAAUUUAUUUGGGAUCUCAAAUGCUUGGAUAAAUGCUUCUUAUAUCCCAAAGAUGCAGUGACUGAGGAGGGGAGGCCUGAGCUGUCAUCAAAGAAAGGGCUUUCUAGUCACAAUAGUGUUGCUAAACAUAAUAGCAGAGCCCUUCUACAGAAAUAACAGCUAAUGAGGUACCAGCUUUGACUGGAGGGUUACAGAGAGACAGAGAUUAACCUUUCUAAGUAAUACACUAUAGUUCCAAGAAAAAGCAAACUAAGAACAGAGUAACCUCCUUCUUGAAUAGCCAGGCUCGGGAAAGCGCGACACACUCCCACUUUGUUGUAACAGUUUUGUUUCAUUCACAUCCCAUGCCUCCUCCUUUGAGCCUCUUCAUUUUUCUUGUAAUUUUAAGAGCACAUAAAGCAAAAUGGAAGCUUGUGUUACUAUUUAGUAUGAAAACACAGAACCUAAUCACAGCUAAUGAGUAUAAUAAAUGCCGGGCUGUAGCUUCUCUUGUGUGUAUAUGGUGUAUGUACAGAAGGUAAUAUAGGCUGAGUGACUAGGACACCGAGUUACAGAUGGGGUUGUGGAAUGUUACUUGACAGCCAAUUAGAGUAAUCUGUCAGAAAUGAUGACUUAAUCACCAUAACAGAUUCCAAAUUCCCUCCUAGAAUUCCACCCAGAGUAAUCUAAUUUUCCCGCCAUGUUUUAUUUUACUUAUUUUAUUUAAAAAAAUAUAUAUAUUUUCCAGGACUGAAUGGUUAUGCUGCUUGUUUUUCCUCCUCUGGUAUCGCACAUGAUUGUACUAGAAAUGUAAAUAGAUAGUGUCAUUACCCUGCAGCCCGAUGGGCCAAAAGUAGAUACAUAAUUUGGGUUCUGUAGGUUUUUCUCCUGGAUUUGGGAGUUGAAUGAAACUAGCUGCAUACCUCCCAGGUCAGCAAGAAAAGCCAUUCCUUCCAGUAUGUUAUCCUGGCUUUUGAAGGGACCUUUUCUCCCCACCUCAGGGAAACCUUUAUGCUAGCUAAAAUAAUGAUAGUAAUGACUUUAUUCAGCGCUCUGCACUUCACAUGUAUCAGUCAGUGGCUAUCAGGAAGAAAUAGUUCUUUCCACUCUGAGUUUUCUCCUUGAGUAUGAUUUGCUGUGGGAAGAGAAAAGGUGACUUUUGUUUCUUUAUUGUCAUCAUGUUCAAAGCCACUUUUUUCCUUGGCUUAGAUCACUUCUGUAAAAAUUUAGGUUAGCAAAUACUGGUUGCCAAGUUUUUAUGUUAACUCCAUUGGUGGCCAUACACAAAAGCAAUGUGGAAUAGCCCUGGGAUUCAAAGUGUAGAUGAAUCCCAGGCACUCUGCUUCCACCAAGGAACCCCGUCUUGAGAGGGCAGCUCCGCACUCCACCUUCUGCAGACUUUCCAAAGCCAUAUUCAAAUAGACGGGCAUCAUGCAAUCCAGUCGCUUAACAGGAAACCCACUGCCAGGGCUUUCUGGUGUGAAUGAUGCUUAGCCAACAAAAAGUGGUCCACACUGAUUAUUUAUAGAUUCCAGUGUACUUUACUGUACUACCAGUUUGGGAGGAAACCACAAAAUGUAGGAUCAGUUAAUGUCAGGGAUUCAAAAUUAUUUUCCUCUCUGAGAAUAGGUGAUAGUAAAGGUUGGUCUUCAUCAGUCCACUUCUCAAUGUAGGUGGGGAACAUUUCAGAUAGCUUGGCCCAUGAAACACAUCUUAGGGUCUGAUUCCAUCGUGUGUGUGUUGUUUAGGAGGGCCUGAUGAAGGGACUGUGGGAGGAUCAGCACUGAACCUCUGCAUUAGGACGUACAGCUCCUUCACGGUCAAAUGGCUCCUUGGCUGGGGCAGUACUUUCCAUACGUGGCUCUAAGGCUGUGGGUUUUUUCUCUCCAUCAUUACAGCUGUUUGAGUUUUCUUUCCUACCUUCUCCAUGGAGGAAACACAGUAAUUCCUGUUCUGAGGCUAACUUACAGUGUUUCUUAUGUGCAUGUGCAAUACACAUGCUUGUAUACAUCCAUAUGUAUACACAUACACAUUGCACACACUCGUAUACGAGUCUAAGAGGGAAGAAACUUACAGUUAGAUAAUCUUUAUGUUUAGUGUAGAAGAGGGAAGUUAUGGUAAUUUUGCUGGUUCUUAGAAACCCCAAAUUCACCUGCAGCACAACUGUGUGGAUAUAUGCUAGGGGCAGUAUGGAGGAGUGUCAGAGACGGAAGCUCCAGCCUGGGACAGUCCUGAGUCUCAAUCCCUGCUCCACCGUUGACUUGGUGUCGGGCUUGACCAGGUUACAUAUCCCUCGCUCUCUCGCUCCCCAACCCUCCUUGGCUCCCCAUUUAUACCUGUCUCAGGGUUGUUGGAACAGUUUAGACACAUAAAGAGCCUACGACAGUGUUUGGCACAGGAAAAACAAGAAGGAAGGAUUUCCUCUGUUUUUCACACACACAAAAAAAUCUCAAAAAUUGGGGG